GAUGAACGCUGGCGGCGUGCUUAACACAUGCAAGUCGAACGGAAAGGCUCCUGCUUGCAGGGGUACUCGAGUGGCGAACGGGUGAGUAACACGUGGGUGAUCUGCCCUGCACUUCGGGAUAAGCCUGGGAAACUGGGUCUAAUACCGGAUAGGACGAUGGUUUGGAUGCCAUUGUGGAAAGUUUUUUCGGUGUGGGAUGAGCUCGCGGCCUAUCAGCUUGUUGGUGGGGUAAUGGCCUACCAAGGCGUCGACGGGUAGCCGGCCUGAGAGGGUGUACGGCCACAUUGGGACUGAGGUACGGCCCAGACUCCUACGGGAGGCAGCAGUGGGGAAUAUUGCACAAUGGGCGCAAGCCUGAUGCAGCGACGCCGCGUGGGUGAUGACGGCCUUCGGGUUGUAAACUCCUUUCGCUAGGGACGAAGCGCAAGUGACGGUACCUGGAGAAGAAGCACCGGCUAACUACGUG
rnacentral:rRNA from 1 species